CAGGGAUUGGACGUUAGGUACAAUGGUGGUCAGGGAUUGGACGUUAGGUACAAUGGUGGUCAGGGAUUGGACGUUAGGUACAAUGGUGGUCAGGGAUUGGACGUUAGGUACAAUGGUGGUCAGUGAUUGGACGUUAGGUACAAUGGUGGUCAGUGAUUGGACGUUAUUUACAAUGGUGGUCAGGGAUUGAACAUUAGGUACAAUGGUGGUCAGUGAUUGGACGUUAUUUACAAUGGUGGUCAGGGAUUGGACGUUAGGUACAAUGGUGGUCAGUGAUUGGACGUUAUUUAUAAUGGUGGGCAGGGAUUGGACGUUAGGUACAAUGGUGGUCAGUGAUUGGACAUUAUUUACAAUGGUGGUCAGUGAUUGGACAUUAUUUACAAUGGUGGU
ensembl:lncRNA